UAUAUAUAUAUAUAUAUAUAUAUAUAAAUAAAAUUGCACGACCGGAAGAUAAAAACACGGCAUGUAUUGAGAGAACACGUCUUGUAAAGAUCCAAUAAAAUUAACCAAGUAUGUUAAAUUUUGGCAUUUAUUUUGAGUGAAUUAUUGGAAAAAAUCCAAAGAAAUAAAAGGCAUAUUGGAAAUAUAGGUCUUUAAAAAAGCGAACAAAAAUAAACAAAAAACUCCGGUUUUAGAUUUUAGUGAGUUGUUUUUAAAUACUGUAACGAUUGUUACAAUACCUAAUUAAAAUCUUAUGACGGAUACGUUUGGCUUUUGUAUUUUUAGUAAAUUCUUAAUAUCCUGUUCAAAUUCGCAGAUAAAUUAUAAAUAAAGGUUUUUAAAAAAAAGGUUAAAAAAAAAGGUUCUAUUAGCGACAAGCGGCUGUUAUCACCGAUAGAAUGGUUGAUAACGGUUGAUAACAGCCUGCUAGCAGGUAGAGCAGGGACCAACUGAGGCCAUUCAAUGGGGCUGAUAACCACUGAUAAUCGCCAUUCUAUGGGAUGAUAACAUCCGAAGCGGGUGCAUCUUUGUGGCUGUAA